rnacentral:rRNA from 1 species
UACGUAGGGUGCAAGCGUUGUCCGGAGUUAUUGGGCGUAAAGAGCUUGUAGGCGGUUUGUCGCGUCUGCUGUGAAAUUUCGGGGCUCAACCCCGAACUUGCAGUGGGUACGGGCAGACUAGAGUGUGGUAGGGGAGACUGGAAUUCCUGGUGUAGCGGUGAAAUGCGCAGAUAUCAGGAAGAACACCCGUGGCGAAGGCGGCUCUCUGGUACGUGACUGACGCUGAGACGCGAAAGCGUGGGGAGCGAACAGG